UCGCCUGUUUAUCAAAAACAUCUCCUCUUGAGGUUAUAAGAGGUAGGCCUUGCCCGGUGCUUUGUAAACGGCGACAUGGUUUUAAUGUAGCGCGAUAACUUGCCCUCUAAUUGAGGGAGGGAGGAAUGGGUUGACGUUGGGAGGUCUGUCUCCUAAGCAGUUGUAGAAAUUUUCUUCUUAGUGAAAAGGCUAAGAUGUAUUUAAAAGACGAGAAGACCCUAUCGAGCUUAAUGAUUGUUAGUUUUGAACUAAUGAGAAGGUUAGUUGGGGCAACUCUGGAGAAAUCAAAACCUCUAGAUUUGGUAGGAUCCAUCAUUGAUGACAAUAGAAGAAGCUACCGUAGGGAUAACAGCGCGGCGCCCCCUGAGAGGCCUUAUCAAAGGGGGAGAGAGCGACCUCGAUGUUGGAUUAGAAUUGCUUGCUGGCGUAGCAGCUAAGAGAGUGGGUCUGUUCGCCCUUUAAAAUUUUACAUGAUCUGAGUUCAAACCGGAGA
rnacentral:rRNA from 1 species